UACGUAGGUGGCAAGCGUUGUCCGGAAUUAUUGGGCGUAAAGCGCGCGCAGGCGGUCCUUUAAGUCUGAUGUGAAAGCCCACGGCUCAACCGUGGAGGGUCAUUGGAAACUGGGGGACUUGAGUGCGUGAGGGGUAGGGGGAACGAGCAGUGUAGCGGUGAAAUGCGUAGAUAUUGCUCGGAAGGCCAGAGCCGAAGGGGCCCUACUGGUGCGUAACUGACACUGAGGCACGAAAGCGUGGGGAGCAAACAGG
rnacentral:rRNA from 1 species